rnacentral:rRNA from 1 species
ACGUAGGAGGCAAACGUUAUCCGGAUUUACUGGGCGUAAAGCGUGUGUAGGUGGUUUGGUAAGUAGAGCGUGAAAGCUCCUGGCUCAACUGGGAGAGGGCGUUAGAAACUGCCGGACUAGAGGAUGGUAGAGGGAGGUGGAAUUCCGGGUGUAGCGGUGGAAUGCGAAGAUAUCCUGAGGAACACCAGUGGCGAAGGCGGAUACCUAGACUACUCCUGACUCUCAGACGCGAAAGCUAGAGUAGAAAACAG